rnacentral:rRNA from 1 species
UGGCGGACGGGUGAGUAAUACUUAGGAAUCUGCCCAGUAGUGGGGGACAACCAGGAGAAAUCCUGGCUAAUACCGCAUACGCCCUACGGGGGAAAGCGGGGGAUCUUCGGACCUCGCGCUAUUGGAUGAGCCUAAGUCGGAUUAGCUUGUUGGUGGGGUAACGGCCUACCAAGGCGACGAUCCGUAGCUGGUCUGAGAGGACGAUCAGCCACACUGGGACUGAGACACGGCCCAGACUCCUACGGGAGGCAGCAGUGGGGAAUAUUGGACAAUGGGGGCAACCCUGAUCCAGCAAUGCCGCGUGUGUGAAGAAGGCCUGCGGGUUGUAAAGCACUUUCAGUAGAGAAGAAAAGCCUAGGGUUAAUAACCCUGAGUCUUGACGUAACCUACAGAAGAAGCACCGGCUAACUCCGUGCCAGCAGCCGCGGUAAU